GACGAACGCUGGCGGCGUGCUUAACACAUGCAAGUCGAACGGAAAGGCCCCUUUGGGGGUACUCGAGUGGCGAACGGGUGAGUAACACGUGAGUAACCUGCCCUUGACUUCGGGAUAACUUCAGGAAACUGGGGCUAAUACCGGAUAGGAAUCCUUGCUGCAUGGUGGGGGUUGGAAAGCUUCGGCGGUUUUGGAUGGACUCGCGGCUUAUCAGCUUGUUGGUGGGGUAGUGGCUUACCAAGGCUUUGACGGGUAGCCGGCCUGAGAGGGCGACCGGCCACAUUGGGACUGAGAUACGGCCCAGACUCCUACGGGAGGCAGCAGUGGGGAAUAUUGCACAAUGGGCGGAAGCCUGAUGCAGCAACGCCGCGUGCGGGAUGACGGCCUUAGGGUUGUAAACCGCUUUCAGCAGGGGCGAAGCUUGUGGUGACGGUACCUGCAGAAGAAGCACCGGCUAACUACGUG
rnacentral:rRNA from 1 species